rnacentral:rRNA from 1 species
AACGAACGCUGGCGGCAUGCCUAACACAUGCAAGUCGAACGAGACCUUCGGGUCUAUUGGCGCACGGGUGCUUAACGCGUGGGAACCUGCCCUUAGGUUCGGAAUAACUCCCCGAAAGGGGUGCUAAUACCGGAUAAUGUCUUCGGACCAAAGAUUUAUCGCCUUUGGAUGGGCCCGCGUUGGAUUAGCUAGUUGGUAGGGUAAAAGCCUACCAAGGCGACGAUCCAUAGCUGGUCUGAGAGGAUGAUCAGCCACACUGGGACUGAGACACGGCCCAGACUCCUACGGGAGGCAGCAGUGGGGAAUAUUGGACAAUGGGCGAAAGCCUGAUCAAGCAAUGCCGGGUGAGUGAUGAAGGCCUUAGGGUUGUAAAGCUCUUUUACCCGGGAUGAUAAUGACAGUAACGGGAGAAUAAGCUCCGGCUAACUACGUG